UACGAAGGGGCAAGCGUUGUUCGGAAUUACUGGCGUAAAGGGCGCGUAGGCGGCUUAUCAAGUCAGGCGUGAAAUUCCCGGGCUCAACCUAGGGCUGCGCUUGAUACUGAUGAGCUUGAAUGCGGGAGAGGAUAGUGGAAUUCCCAGUGUAGAGGUGAAAUUCGUAGAUAUUGGAAGAACACCGGUGGCGAAGGCGGCUAUCUGGCCCGUAAUUGACGCUGAGGCGCGAAAGCGUGGGAGCAACAGG
rnacentral:rRNA from 1 species